UUGGGCCGAACGUGUUGAGGUUAGAAAUGAGGAUUUAAGCCCAAUAUUGUUCUAAAUUUGCCUAAUUGACAGGCCCAUGAGAUCUCAUCAUCCUCCGAUUGUGCGGAAGAAUGUGUUCAGAUCAUGGCUAAAGGAAACAGACACCUCUUCUUUUGAUUUCCCAGCCAAUCGAGGCGAUGCUCCAUGACAAGUCCUGCGUGAGAUGAUAUGGUUACGAAACGGGUUAUUGCUUCCUAGGCCGCUUAGGUUAUGAUGCGGCAGUCAGAUUUGGUCUUCGGCCUGGACGUGAAGGUCAGAUGCUCGACAAAAUGUGGCUGAAGUAAGUGGGAAUCCAGUAAAGGAAUUGGAGUUGUGACUUGAAACAGCGGGAUGAAAGAAUGCUGUGAAGCUGAGAAUUUCGGAACUAGUUGUGAUUCUUUUUAGUCUGUGUAGCAGAACAAUCGAAAUUAUAGCUGAGUCAUGGGCUGGACUUCGCAGCACUGUUCUUAAUGGCUUUGUUCAGGCAGUGUCGAUGAGUGGAUUUCUUCUCCAAAGUAGGCUGAGGAGAACCAUGAUUUCUGCGCAUUGAACAACUCAAGUAUGUUGUUGUUACCUUCCAUUACACUUGGAGCUCAUGGUUGGACCUGUUCCAUUUUGCAGCUUAGAAAAUGCUUCAGAAGGAAAGAAUAGUCAACUGGGAUUUGGAACUUGGAACUUGAAGGUGACUAUUUUGUCUUGCCUGGUGCUUACUUGAUGGCUCCAGGAUCCACAUUCUCAUCCAAUCAGGAAGUGACAAAUCAGCAGGGGUAAUGCACCUGUGCCCUGUCACAGUUGUGCCUGCUUGUUGAGUGCAAUUACUUGACAUAUUACUUCAGAAUGGACAACUAGAUGGUGCAUUUUUUUCCAGAUAUGUUCAGUCUCUCAAUCAUAUUUAAUUGAGUCUGCACUAUUUUGUUCUUGAGUGCCUCAGCAAAUGAAUAGGACCAGAAUCAUUAUAUUCCCAGUCAAGUAUCUCUUUUCUUCCUUUUGUUUUUGUUUCUGUUUUUUUUUUCUCAAAUGAAGACAUAAGUUGAGCUGUAUUUGUCUUCCAACACUCGACUUGAUGUAAAACCAACUAUAUUGUAUAAAUUUAGCUAAAACUAAUAAACAAGUGUCGCCAAAAGAUGGAGUUGUAGUGCACAAUUAGCUCUUUUGUUCUUCCCUACACUUUAUCCUCACUUAUAAAUGACGUGUCCCAAUACUCUUUUGUUUCUCUUUAGUUCUUGCCAAGCAUCCAGGAUAAUAUUAUAGGAUAAUAUUAUGAUGAUCCUAGAGGUUGCUCAUUCCAUAUAUAAGACCAAGGGGAAAAAAUCCUUUAGUCAUCAUUAAAGUUGACUUAGAAAAGGUUUAUGAUAGAUUGUCAUGGAAUGUCAUUGACAAUGUGUUGAGGGCUUUUAACUUUCCUGAGGUUUUUGUUUCCUGAAUUUAUGCUUGUGUCUACUCCUGAGCAUGCGUGUUUGAUUAAUGGAUCUCCUUCCCAUUUUUUCAAAUAUGCUCAAGGUAUUAGACAAGGCGAUCCACCUUCACCUUAUCACCUUAUCUUUAUAUCUUAGUGGCACAAUUGUUGUCCCAUUAAUUGGACAAGGCUACUCUAGAUGACAAAAGCUUAUCCCUUUUGACUUCAAGCACAAGUAUAAGCUUACUCACAUGAUGUAUGCCGAUGACAUAAUUCUGUGUUUUAGAGCAAACAAAAAGUCUUGCAGAACUAUUAUUGAAAAUUUUUGGGAUUAUGAAAUUUUUACAGGCCAGUGUUUGAACCGUACUAAAUCUGAAAUUUUCUUUCCAUGUGACAUUGAUCAAAAUACUAAAACUUCAAUUUGUAAUUUUUUUGAAUAUUACAAAAGAUAAAUUUUAUUUUAAAUAUCUUGGCAUCAUGAUUUUUCCUCAUCGGCUACCAAUUUCACCUUUUGAUGAUCGUGUUCAUGCUAUUAAAAAAAGCUUAGUUCUUGGCAUGCAAAGUUUCUGCAUUACUCUUAUAAAAUCUGUCGUGUUGGCUUCUUUCACAUGCUUUCGGUGGAUGCCUACGCAUAUUUUGAAAACCAUUAAUAGAAGUCUACAAACGUCCUUUGGCAUAAAGCCUCUUCUUUAAGGAAUCUGCAUUUGCUUUCUUGGAAACUGUUACUGCUCCCAAAGAUCAGGGCGAUCUUGGUAUCCAAAAUAUAAAUCUCACUUCUGUUGCUUUACGGGCUAAGAGAGUUUACAAUUACUUAAACAAAGCUGACAGUAUAUGGUGUAAAGUGAUUUAUGAUAAAUAUCUCAUUGGCAGAUUGGACAUUGCUCUAAUGCAAGUUGGUUCUAGCAUCUAUUUACUCGGGCUAUGUGGGAUUUGCGUUCUGCAUUUUCCUGUGUUAUUGGUGAUGGUCGUUUUGUUAAUGCCUUGGAUCAUAGUUGGAUUUUUUUUUAGAUGCCGAUUUCUUUCAAGCCAACUUUUCUUAAUAUGGAAUGUUUGCAUGA